rnacentral:rRNA from 1 species
AUACGGAAGGUCCGGGCGUUAUCCGGAUUUAUUGGGUUUAAAGGGAGCGCAGGCGGAGAUGCAAGCGUGACGUCAAAUUUCGGGGCUCAACCCCGUCUCGCGUCGCGAACUGCGUCCCUUGGUUGCGGGAAGGGGAGGCGGAACUCGUGGUGUAGCGGUGAAAUGCAUAGAUAUCACGAAGAACUCCGAUCGCGAAGGCAGCCUUCCGGCCCGUCAACGACGCUCAUGCUCGAAGGUGCGGGUAUCAAACAGGAUUAGAUCCCCUGGUAGUCCGCACAGUAAACGAUGGACACCCGCGGUUUGGCCUAUAUGGCUGAGCCGCCAAGCGAAAGCGUUAAGUGUCCCACCUGGGGAGUACGCCGGCAACGGUGAAACUCAAAUGAAUUGACGGGG